GCUAUAAAAUCUUUUUCGAGGGAAGUGGCGAGGCCUUCCGGAUGUCGGUUCUUUGGCCUGAUUUUCCCUGGUAGUACCCAGUGACCCUGUCCUAAAGGGAGAAGUAGCAUGACUGUAAAGAGCAUUUCAGUGAAUUUCUCUGAUGUUACCUGACAUUAAAGUUUACCUAUACAUAAAGAACGUCUUACGUGGAUAGUUUACAUCAAUGAUGUACAACUUUUUGCACCUGGAUACACUUGGUGUCGUUUAAGGUCAUAUUAGUGGUGGAAAGCUUGUGUAGGAGUUUCUUACAGCAAACUCAAAGAAAUUUCAGUGGCGGAAAUUCAUUUUUGAUUUUGCAAGCAAAUUUGCCGACAAAUGACAUAAAUUAUCGACAAAACCGAAAAUUUGGCACUUGCUUCCCACGCCUCCGCAAUUUCUGCCAUUGUUGCAUUUUAUAGUACCCAGCCCGCAGCUGGAGGAGAAACGUUUACCUAUUUGUAAGCUGAACCUACUAGAUUAUUGCAAUCGAGUUCACUGAGAAUUUUUAUGUUGUUGGCUGCUUUACGCUACAUGUUACUGUAUAAUUCAGCCCUUCAACG